GGCCCUUUCAGGGUCCGAGUUGUAAUUUGUAGAGGGCGCUUUGGCGUCGGUUACGGCCUAAGUUCCUUGGAACAGGACGUCACAGAGGGUGAGAACCCCGUACGUGGCCGCUAGCCUUCGCCGUGUAAAGCCCCUUCGACGAGUCGAGUUGUUUGGGAAUGCAGCUCUAAAUGGGAGGUAAAUUUCUUCUAAAGCUAAAUACUGGCCAGAGACCGAUAGCGCACAAGUAGAGUGAUCGAAAGAUGAAAAGCACUUUGGAAAGAGAGUCAAAAAGCACGUGAAAUUGUUGAAAGGGAAGCGCUUGCAGCCAGACUUGCCUGUAGUUGCUCAUCCGAGCUCUCGCUCGGUGCACUCUUCUACUGGCAGGCCAGCAUCAGUUCGGGCGGUCGGAUAAAGGUCUCGGGAAUGUAGCUCCCCUCGGGGAGUGUUAUAGCCCGGGACGUCAUGCGACCAGCCUGGACUGAGGUCCGCGCAUCUGCUAGGAUGCUGGCGUAAUGGCUGUAAGCGGCC
rnacentral:rRNA from 1 species